CAAUAGCGUAUAUUAAAGUUGUUGCGGUUAAAAAGCUCGUAGUUGGAUUUCUGCUGAGGACGACCGGUCCGCCCUCUGGGUGAGUAUCUGGCUCGGCCUUGGCAUCUUCUUGGAGAACGUUACUGCACUUGACUGUGUGGUGCGGUAUCCAGGACUUUUACUUUGAGGAAAUUAGAGUGUUUCAAGCAGGCAUACGCCUUGAAUACAUUAGCAUGGAAUAAUAAGAUAGGACCUUGGUUCUAUUUUGUUGGUUUCUAGAGCUGAGGUAAUGAUUAAUAGGGAUAGUUGGGGGCAUUCGUAUUUAACCGUCAGAGGUGAAAUUCUUGGAUUUGUUAAAGACGGACUACUGCGAAAGCAUUUGCCAAGGAUGUUUUCAUUGA
rnacentral:rRNA from 1 species